rnacentral:rRNA from 1 species
GACGAACGCUGGCGGCGUGCCUAAUACAUGCAAGUCGAGCGAAUCUGAUGGGAGCUUGCUCCUUGAUGAUUAGCGGCGGACGGGUGAGUAACACGUGGGUAACCUGCCUGUAAGACUGGGAUAACUCCGGGAAACCGGGGCUAAUACCGGAUAACUUUUUUCUUCGCAUGAGGGAGAAUUGAAAGAUGGCUUCGGCUAUCACUUACAGAUGGACCCGCGGCGCAUUAGCUAGUUGGUGAGGUAACGGCUCACCAAGGCGACGAUGCGUAGCCGACUUGAGAGGGUGAUCGGCCACACUGGGACUGAGACACGGCCCAGACUCCUACGGGAGGCAGCAGUAGGGAAUCUUCCGCAAUGGACGAAAGUCUGACGGAGCAACGCCGCGUGAGUGAGGAAGGUUUUCGGAUCGUAAAACUCUGUUGUUAGGGAAGAACAAGUAUCGUUCGAAUAGGGCGGUACCUUGACGGUACCUAACCAGAAAGCCACGGCUAACUACGUG